rnacentral:rRNA from 1 species
AUGGCCGCGAAACUAGUAUUCCCCCAGGACAACCCACCACUUUCCAUCAUUUCUGCUGCUAAGAUUGCAGUUGUUCCUAUAACCACUGAUCCCUGCCUCCCCUCAGGUUCAGUGCCCACACUACACUUCGGUUCUGGGGACUUUAUACAUGGUGUCAACACAGUUCUUCGCUAUAUUGCCACUACAUCUGUCUCCAGCUUCUAUGGCGAGAACGCUAUUCAGGAAGCACGUGUUGAUGAAUGGCUCGAGUACGCACCACUCAUUCUUUCAGGCUCUGAAUUUGAAGCCGCUUGCUCAUUUCUUGAUGGAUACUUGGCAUCUCGAACCUUUUUGGUUGGUCAUGGUCUGACAGUUGCUGACAUUGUAGUGUGGUCAAACCUCAGAGGAGCUGGUCAACGAUGGGAAAGUUUAAGGAGGUCAAGGAAGUACCAAAACCUUGUCCGUUGGUUCAACAGCGUAGCUGUAGACUAUGCACUAGAGGAAGUUACAUCUGUUUAUGUUGGAAAGCGAGCAAUUGGCAAAUCUCCCGCACCAUGCCUGAAAGAAAAGAUGCCUGGCUUGAAGAACACCUCAGGUCAUGAGAUAGAUCUCCCAGGUGCAAAAGUUGGGGAGGUUUGCGUACGUUUUGCCCCAGAGCCUAGCGGAUAUCUCCACAUUGGUCAUGCUAAGGCUGCACUGUUGAACCAGUAUUUUGCAGAUAGAUAUAAAGGACGUCUCUUAGUUCGAUUUGAUGACACAAAUCCUUCCAAAGAAAGCAGCGAAUUUGUUGAGAACGUCCUGAAGGAUAUUGAGACCCUUGGAGUUAAAUACGAUGCAGUUACAUACACAUCGGAUUAUUUCCCAAAGCUAAUGGAAAUGGCCGAAUGUUUGAUUAAGCAGGGAAAGGCAUAUGUUGAUGAUACACCCAAGGAUAAAAUGAAUACUGAAAGGAGGGACGGUGUGGAAUCUAAAUGUAGAAACAGUACUGUUGAGGAGAACUUGUUGUUGUGGAGUGAGAUGGUUAAUGGUACCAAGAGGGGUACUCAGUGCUGUGUGCGUGGUAAACUUGACAUGCAGGAACCCAACAAAUCACUUCGAGAUCCUGUUUACUACCGUUGCAACCCUGAUCCCCAUCACCGAGUUGGCUCAAAAUACAAGGUCUAUCCAACAUAUGACUUUGCAUGCCCAUUUGUUGACGCAUUGCAAGGAGUGACUCAUGCUCUUCGUUCAAGUGAAUAUCAUGAUCGGAACGCACAGUACUACCGUAUCCUUCAGGACAUGGGGCUGCGGAGGGUUGAAAUCUUUGAGUUCAGCAGACUGAAUAUGGUUUAUACCGUCCUUAGCAAGCGCACGCUUCGCUGGUUUGUACAAAACAAGAAGGUGGACGACUGGACUGACGCACGCUUUCCCACUGUACAAGGCAUAUUACGCCGUGGCUUGAAGAUUGAAGCCUUGAUCCAGUUUAUACUCGAGCAGGGUGCUUCAAAGAAUCUGAAUCUCAUGGAAUGGGAUAAACUCUGGACAAUCAACAAGAAGAUAAUUGAUCCAGUAUGUGGAAGGCAUACUGCUGUGCUGAAGGACAAAAGUGUGCCCUCACUUACUAAUGGCCCAGAGGUACCAUUCAUUUGA